UUUGAUGUUUAAAAACAUACCCACACCGACCCUUCUUUUUAUCAGAUGACUAAAGGCUUCUUUUAAUUUCGCCUUCAGUUCCUCAAAACUGUGAAUACUCCCUGUAGGCAAAUCCGUACACCGGUUCAUGACCUCACCUUCUAAAGUUAAUUCUUACAAUCAUUCGGCAUCAUAAGUCUUUCCUAUCUGUUACAUUUUUCAUAUUAGCCAAAAUAAUUACCAUAUGUAUCUCUGGAUGAGUGGUCCCCUUAUACUCGGGUAACUUGGGUCUAACCCACUUCUCUUGGUACCUGCUUUCUGUGAGAUGGUUUGCUAUGGCGCUAUUUGCCUUAUGUGACCCAUGUUUGGCCACAUGCUUAUUGUUGUCUCUCCAAUACAAGUUUGUGUGCACAUCAUGGGCCUUGCUUAUUUAGCCUACUGCUUUUUACUAGCCCGCCUUCCGAUAAGUAAGCUACCUGCUUUUGCAAUUUUCUUACCUUGCACAAUAACUGUUCUUCCUUUUCCUUCUCCCUAUCGUAAUCUUUUCGUUCCUCGCGAUGUCGUAUCUUUGUCUCUCUCCUCUUACUCCGAUAAUCAUUAUCAUUUUUCCGAUUUGAACCUGCUUUGUUAGUUUUUCUUUCUUUUGAUUUUUUACCUAGUUCCUCAUAGGCGACAUCCGCUCUUUCUUUACAUCUCGCUAUGGGUUUCUUUUCGCGAACGUCAACUCCUCUGUCGAUAUCUCCAGUUUUGACUAUGUCGUCCUCUUCUCUUUUCUUACCCAGUGGAGUUUGGAACCUAAUUUUGAAUGUUUGGGACAUACCUUGCUCCGUCGUUAGCGGCCCGAUGAAAUCGAGUGGUAGCUCGUUCACGUCGGGUUCACCAUUGUUGAAAGUUGAGACUCAUAAUGAUUUUAUUUAAUCUUGGUUAUUUUACAAUUCAUCCCCUAAUUUGAUCCUAGCUUUGGAUUUUUAUAGACUCGUUGAUGGUUCCUAUCACGACGUGAUGUCUUUUUCAUAUGGACACUUGGUCGGUUCCUGACAGUUCUUCAUUGGGAGUGAUUAAUAUAAAGUGAUGUUUAUUCCCUAAACACUA
rnacentral:lncRNA from 1 species